AUACUAAUAAAUAUCACAUGCACCGUAAAUUGCACAAGAUCUGAAUAUAAUCUGUUCUUUGUUAACAUUAAAUAAUUACUCAAUAUUGUGAGGUUUCAAUUCACUUCAUUUUGGGAAUAUUUAGUGGUUUCAAGUGAUAAAUCACAUCCCCAACAUAAAACCUUUUAGACACAUGAAAUUCCUGUCAAACUUCUCCAGUGUCUCCAAGCCAUCAUUAAAUUCUGGCCAAGAUGUACUUCAAUGUGACCGAUUCCAUCAAAUAAUGCAUUUGAAUUUCAUUCAGGGGCUGAAGCUGAAAGAGAAGGAAAGGAGGGAGCUCCAUGAGGAGUUUGGACACCUGAAGCGGGUCCACCAGGAGAAGUGCAAGGUGGUGGAAAGGCACCAGGAACUGGAAGAGGAGACCAAUGCUUUCAACUGACUGAAGGCUGCGGUAGAGGCCUUGCAGUCGCAGGCUUUGCAAUAUCACCUUACAGCAGCCCCUGUGGAAGGCAAGGACAAGAAGA
rnacentral:lncRNA from 10 species